AGACCCGAAACCCGGUGAUCUAGCCAUGGGCAGGUUGAAGGUUGGGUAACACUAACUGGAGGACCGAACCGACUAAUGUUGAAAAAUUAGCGGAUGACCUGUGGCUGGGGGUGAAAGGCCAAUCAAACCGGGAGAUAGCUGGUUCUCCCCGAAAGCUAUUUAGGUAGCGCCUCGUGAAUUCAUCUCCGGGGGUAGAGCACUGUUUCGGCUAGGGGGCCAUCCCGGCUUACCAACCCGAUGCAAACUGCGAAUACCGGAGAAUGUUAUCACGGGAGACACACGGCGGGUGCUAACGUCCGUCGUGAAGAGGGAAACAACCCAGACCGCCAGCUAAGGUCCCAAAGUCAUGGUUAAGUGGGAAACGAUGUGGGAAGGCCCAGACAGCCAGGAUGUUGGCUUAGAAGCAGCCAUCAUUUAAAGAAAGCGUAAUAGCUCACUGGUCGAGUCGGCCUGCGCGGAAGAUGUAACGGGGCUAAACCAUGCACCGAAGCUGCGGCAGCGACACUGUGUGUUGUUGGGUAGGGGAGCGUUCUGUAAGCCUGUGAAGGUGUGUCGUGAGGCAUGC
rnacentral:rRNA from 1 species